rnacentral:rRNA from 1 species
UACGUAGGGUGCGAGCGUUGUCCGGAUUUAUUGGGCGUAAAGAGCUCGUAGGCGGUUUGUCGCGUCGGCUGUGAAAACUCGGGGCUCAACCCCGAGCCUGCAGUCGAUACGGGCAGACUAGAGUGCUGUAGGGGAGACUGGAAUUCCUGGUGUAGCGGUGAAAUGCGCAGAUAUCAGGAGGAACACCGGUGGCGAAGGCGGGUCUCUGGGCCGAUACUGACACUGAGAAGCGAAAGCGUGGGGAGCGAACGGG